rnacentral:rRNA from 1 species
UAGGGAAUCUUCGGCAAUGGACGGAAGUCUGACCGAGCAACGCCGCGUGAGUGAAGAAGGUUUUCGGAUCGUAAAGCUCUGUUGUAAGAGAAGAACGAGUGUGAGAGUGGAAAGUUCACACUGUGACGGUAUCUUACCAGAAAGGGACGGCUAACUACGUGCCAGCAGCCGCGGUAAUACGUAGGUCCCGAGCGUUGUCCGGAUUUAUUGGGCGUAAAGCGAGCGCAGGCGGUUAGAUAAGUCUGAAGUUAAAGGCUGUGGCUUAACCAUAGUAGGCUUUGGAAACUGUUUAACUUGAGUGCAAGAGGGGAGAGUGGAAUUCCAUGUGUAGCGGUGAAAUGCGUAGAUAUAUGGAGGAACACCGGUGGCGAAAGCGGCUCUCUGGCUUGUAACUGACGCUGAGGCUCGAAAGCGUGGGGAGCAAACAGGAUUAGAUACCCUGGUAGUCCACGCUGUAAACGAUGAGUGCUAGGUGUUAGACCCUUUCCGGGGUUUAGUGCCGUAGCUAACGCAUUAAGCACUCCGCCUGGGGAGUACGACCGCAAAGUUG